rnacentral:lncRNA from 1 species
AUUAUAAACAUUUAUCACCAGAUGAAUGAUUGUUUUAUACAUUCAUAUUGUCCUUCUUUUGGAGAUUCCAGCAGCAGUUCUGGGAGUGACUGUGAAUCAAGGUCCAAAGGUUUUGGUUAAGGAAGAGGGCAAAACUGUGUAUCUGCCCUGCAAAGCGACUGGUCUGGGCUCUUCAGACUAUAUCCAUUGGUACCAAAUGAAAGAUGGUGAAGCCCCAUCGAGGCUACUCUAUAUCAGUCAAAGAGGUGAUGUCACUCGUGAUACCAAUAACCCUCAAGCAAAUGAUUUCACAGUGGACAAAACAAAGCUUUAUGAUCUAAAACUGAGUGACAUUCAAAAGAGUCAUGCUGCCGUUUACUUCUGUGCCUACUGGAUCUACAUAAGCGGCAGCCACAGUGAGAAGAUUUACUCACAGCCUAUACAUGAACUAUACUGGCAAAUGUUGAAUAAAAACAUAUACUUGCACUGUGAUUUUCUGUUUAAGUUCUCAAUUUGACUUGAGCUGUAUGCACAGGCUAGUGGAUGAUCUUAUUUUGAUAUGUUUAAUUACAAUUGCCAUAGUGUUAAUGGACACAUUAUACAUGUUUCUAUGAGGUUUUUGUACACACUAUAUUUAUAUUUGUGAUUUUGGAACAUUGCAAGAGUAUCUAAUUUGUAACAUGUCUCAACAUUUUUUAAAAGACGAAACAUGUCAUUGUUAUUUGUUUAGAGAUUAUGGGUAUUUAAGGGUUUGUAAUGUUCAGUUUGAUAAAGCACUUGCUUGAAAUAUCACUUGUCAGGGUUAUUAUAGUUACCUACAAACUGAAAUAUUUAUAUAUUUUUGUUCCUUAAAAUACUCAAAAAAAAAAAAAAAAAAAAAAACACUACAAUAAAAUUACAUUAAAAACACACUUACUUUAUUUCAGCCAAGGCAACAUUUGUCAUUUUCAAUUAGUUUAAUUUAGUUUAAAAAUGAAUAAAAGCAUAUAAAGACAAACAAAAAACUAAUAAAACUGACAGAAUAACAGCAAAAUUGAUAGAAUAAAAGACAUAUAAAGACAAACAAAAAACUAAUAAAACUGACAGAAUAACAGCAAAAUUGAUACUAAUAUAGCACUGGUCCUUGUGUGGUGAAAAUAAGUUCUGGUACAGCAGUAUGCAGACUUUAAGCAUUUGUUUAUCAAAUAAUUUGAAAAGCAAGGCACAAAACUUCUUAUUCAAAACUUCUUCACAUUUGAAUCCAUACAUUUUAUCACAGAAAAAAGAAGAAGGGUGCUAUUGAUGAAGAGGCAGCUUCAUAACCCAAAGCUUAGCCUAACUGUUGUUUUUAAUUGCACGUGUUAAAUGAAUGUCGAUUCCGAUCACCCAUCAUUUAUACAGAUUGUUUUAGUUUGUUUCUUGUGGUAGUGAUGACGACGAGAUAUAUGCAAAGAGGAAACCACAAGGCCAUCAUCAGAUGCACUUCAUAAUUCUUCAGACUCCU